rnacentral:rRNA from 1 species
UACGGGGGGAGCAAGCGUUGUUCGGAUUUACUGGGCGUAAAGGGCGCGUAGGCGGCGUGACUAGUCACUUGUGAAAUCUCCGGGCUUAACUCGGAACGGUCAAGUGAUACUGUCGUGCUAGAGUACAGAAGGGGCAACUGGAAUUCUCGGUGUAGCGGUGAAAUGCGUAGAUAUCGAGAGGAACACCUGCGGCGAAGGCGGGUUGCUGGGCUGAUACUGACGCUGAUGCGCGAAAGCCAGGGGAGCGAACGGG